GGCCAGGGCAUGGGGGCCUGGCCCGGUGUCAAAGGCUGGAAGGAGGCACAGAUCCAACAGCAAGCCAGGUUCAGAGCAUGGCCAGCGUCAGGGCAGCCACAGGAAGUCAAAGGCCUCACUCAGCACAGCCUUCCUCCUUUCUGAGAAAGACCAUCAAAGCAGAACAAAGGUGGCUGACAGGGUGAGGAGAGUUCCAGCCUGGGCACUGGGGGGGCUUCAGUCCUGCUUAGAGAAGGCACCGUCUGCCCAACUCCUCCCAAGACCACUGCUCACUCGGACACCUACCACCUGUACCCAGCCAUCUGGCCCCUCUGACAAGACUCCUUCCCGAACCACUGCCCCCACCGACACCUUUCAGAAUCAUAUGGUUCCCAGUCAGUCACCCAGCUCUUGUAAAUCCAGCUGAAGCAGGAUGAUCACAAUAGCCAAGACUGUUGGACUGCGUACUGCAUGCAGAACGCUUCUCUAUACUCCAUACGGAGGACUCGACUCUGAUAACUGCUCACAAUGACCCUUAGAGGGGUCUGUUUCAUCAGGAGGGCCCCGAGGAUCAGAACACAGAAAGCCCAGAGAAAGCGCCCAUCACUCAUCAGCAGAAGAAAGAACAUCAGAAGCAUCAACACCAUCUUUCAGUGCUAGACGAGCUGUACGAGAGGCGGAAGCAAACUCUCCUUUCUCCAUGGAGCCACCUGCCAGUCACUGAGGAGGACCUGCUAUACGGCAGACACUGUAUGGGAACUGUAUGUGGUUGAACAACGCAAGUCCCCAGUUCCAGUCUGACAGUGCCUACAGCACAAAAGGUCAAGUUCACCCAUUCAGGACGCUGACGAGCCAGACAGAGAGGAGGUCUGUCCACACCGGCCGCCACCGCUGCACAGGGAGGGGACUGCCAACAGACAGCCGUCCCCAGAGCGGGCUGCAGGAGCGCCGGGCCGGCCAAGCCACCAUGCACGCCUCCCACACACAGCCUGCAGCCCCAGGAAAUGGAGGUUUGAGACCGCAAGCAUAAAUGUCCAGGAGGGCUGACCGGCCCCUCUAUUUCUUCCCUCUUUUUUUCUCUCUCUCUUUUCCAGCAAAGCCAGCAAUUGAGAACUCCACAUGACAGAUUCCUGUGGCUAAAAGGGGCCUCUUGAGGUCAUCGACCCUGUUCCCCCACAUCAAGACAAGCCUGUCCUGAAGCUACUCAGAGGCUGGCCACAGUCCUCAUUACAGGAUCUGGAGGAGAGGCUGCCACCUCCUUUGUUGCUACCAGGGCAGCCUCGCCUUCUGUCUCACAGCACUCGUGACAUUUAAUUUUCCUCUUUUAGUCCAAUAUCUGUGUCCUGGCUCAUGACUGUGAGCGCCUAAGGCGAGGGACCCUGUUGUAAUCUUCUCUGUAUCUUCAGAACUUAGCAUAAUGCCUGGUCCAGUGGGGCUACUUAGUAAAUGAUGGUGGGUGGGUGGGUGAGUGGAUGAGUGGACAGGUGCAUAGAUGAGUGUGUGGAUUAGUAAAUGUGGGUGGGUGGAUGGACAGAUGGGUGGGUGAGUGGAUAGGUGUGUAGAUAAGUAGAUAGGCAUAUAGAUGAGUGGGUGGUUGGGUAGAUGGGGGAAUGGGUGAGUGGAUAGGUGUAUAGAUGGAUGGAUGGGUGGGUGGGUGGAUGGAUGGAUGAAUAGGUGGGAGGGUAGAUGAAGGAGGGGUAAGUGGAUAGAUGGAUGGAGGUACAGGCUAAAAAGGGAAAGAGAGACAGAAGAUGGUUGCAGUUAGGAGCUAUCAAACACACCCCCUUUAGACUGCCAGAAUCAUGGAACUUUGAGGCCAAAAGGGACUUGAGAGUUCCUCUAAGUCUCACCCCUACUCCUUAUUUUGCAGACGUGGAAACUAACAUUCCUACCCGAGCUGCUGUGUCCGAGGUCACAGGACUGAGGGUGAGCGAAUCCACAGCAGCACCCAGGGCUCUGGGCAGCCUCAGUCGGAAAGGAGACAUGGUGAUCCCUCCUCCUAUCAGAACAAAAAUGACACCCACACUCCGACUCGUGCAGAGUGGCACUGCUUCUUUCUCCCACCCGUGAAGCUUCAGCUACGUGCCCUAAAACUGUGAUGGAACCAAGAGGAAGAGAGGCACGGGGAAGAAGGAGUGUCAGUCUCCCGUGGUCAUAAGGAAGCUUAAGGCGACAGCCCAGCGAGUGCCCACCAGGAGGGCCAGUGCUCCUGCUUCGGCCCUGAUCACACGCCUCUUCAGAGGGAGCGGGGAGCAAAGCUGAGCGUUUUCAUCUUCCUCCAUUCCAUCUUUCUGCCGUAAUUCCUGCUAUGAGAGAAAACGCAGCCAAAAUCCAGAGACCAGAAUGAAAUGGCCCAUCUCCAGCUCGGUUAUGGAGCAUACAGAUGAAUCAGUCACAACUAUUUCCUGAUGGUCUGCUGUGCGUUCAGGCCUGGGACGAGCACAGACCCAGGACAAUUCAAAAUCUAGAUCCUGGACCAAACCUACAAUUCAGGUUUCUAACUGCCGACUGCUCAUUCAUUCUCUCAUUCAUGUAACAAAUCACAGCUGAGCACCGGCCACAUGCCCUGGGCUAGGUUUUGGAGUUUGGGUCCAUUCUCUGCCGAGUACGCAGGAAGCUUGAACCUGAUUGUGAGCAGUGAUCAUCCCCAUCACUGGUGUCCACAUGGUGCUUUUCCAUUCUCAAAGCAUCUGUCCAAACACAGAUGCAUUCAACCCCCACAACGACCCCAGGGAAGUCAGCAGGGAGUGUUCUCAAGCUUUCCCACUGUACAUUUAGGGAAACCGAGGUACCGAGGGUUCGAGACUUAUCCAUGAUCAUACAGCAGAACGGUGACUCAAACCCUCCUCUUCUGUUUUCUUUUGGGUACAAAUCCCUGUGAGAGACAUGAGGAGUCUGUGUCAGGAAAAGAUCCCAGUAGGCAGGGGUGGCCAGAGUGGACUGGACAGCGGAGGACGUGGAUAUGGGGAAAACAAAAGGCAGGUGGCUCCUGAAAGGACACGGAGCAGAGCUCCUCUAGCUCAGUGUGAGGCAUCCACAGGGCUGGGCACAGUUCUUGACGUGAACGGAGAAUCUAAACCAAAGCGAGAGCCUUGUAUGUUGCUGAGGAGGAGGAGGAGGGUGCAAAAGCGAUCAGCUCUGAGUCAGACAAACCCUGGUUGUGCUUCUGUCUGUGCCGUUAUAAACUGUGUGCCCUAACUGAGCCUUGACUUUCUCAUCUGUAAAGUGGGACUAAUGGGGUCCAUUCCAUCUCUACAGAAUUCAGUGGGAUUAAGGGUCAGACACAGUGGCGUGAAGCGAGUGCCCCACAUCUCUCUUGUUACCUAAGGGGACCUGCAAUGCCACCAUGUUUGUUUGCUUGUUUUGCUUGAGGUGAAAUUCACAUGAAAUAAAAUUAACCAUUUAAAAGUAUACAAUUCAGCAGUAUUUAGUGCAUUCCCAAGGUAGUACAAGUCAUUGCCUCUAUCUAGUUCCAAAACAUUUUCAUCGCUCAAAACAAAACUGCAUACCCAUUAAGCAGUUACUUCUCAUCGCCUCCCACCCCUGGCAACCACCAAUCUGCAUCGUCUCUAUGGAUUUACCAAUUCUGGAUACUUCAUAAAAAUGGAAUCA
ensembl:lncRNA